UUUUUUUUUUUUUUUUUUUUUUUUUUGGCUUUUUGCCUUUUUGCCUUUUCUAGGGCUGCUUCCCAAGGCAUGUGGAGGUUCUCAGGCUAGGAGUCUAAUUGGAGCUGUUGCAGACACGGCUCAGAUCCAGCGUGGCUGUAGCUAUGGCAUAGGCCAGCAGCUGUAGCUCUGAUUCGACCCCUAUCCUGGGAACCUCCAUAAGCCACAAGGGCAGCCCUAAAAAGACAAAAAAUAAAAAUAAAACCAGAAAAUUAUCAUUUAGUAUGAAAAAAAUUGAGACAUUUCGUGUUCAAAAACUACCUAAGAUCCAGGUCAACCACAGCUUCUCAGGUGGAAGGUGUCAGAGGACAGUCAAAGACAAUCACAAAACUAAAGGAAGCAGGUGCAAUUUUAGGCCAAAUCGUGUCAUCCUAGAUUCCUGAGUAUUGACAUAUUGACAUUUUUGUUUUUCAAAACAAAAGCUAGAUUAAAUCAGUGACAAUCAAUGUUAAAAGAAAUCAAAGCCAAACAUAUAUCUGCCUCACCUACAAUACUGGCCCAAACAUUUAGCCUCAUUUUAGGGCUGUAUGAGUACUUUUCAAAACAGGAUCAGGUCUCUCAGCCACUCUAGGUGGUACACAUUUUUGAAAUAGUUUAUUUCACCAGCUUGCUGUGGCCCGUGGUUCUGUGUAAGAAUACGCAUUGAAAGAACUGAAGGAGAUCCUUGAUGACACUUUAUGCUCCCGGAGAGCAGAUGAUGAUCACCUGACAGAAAUGGAUAACGAUGCCUCAUGUUGGUUGAUCCCUACAGUGGGUAACGGACGGAGGUUGUUCAUUAAGAUCUCAAAGCCUGCAAGUCCAGCAUUUUAACCUAUCAUCACAAGUCGGCCUCUGCCUUCCCACCCUCACGUUGUUGCUGAGUCUGCUACAGGAAUUUGGAACAUGUUGCUCAGGUGAUUGAUGUUUAUAAACAUGCCCUGAGAGUCAAGUUCUGUCAGGUGUUGGAGGUACAAUGAUUUGGUCCAUCAUCCAGGCCACCUCAGAUUGCAGGGCAGAGACAGACAAUGCAGUGCUUUGUAACUGAUGUGCUUGCCUUUCGCAAUAGAGGUAGAACAGUCUCCUACUCUCGCUGAUGGAUGGUAGGGUUUGUGGGGGCUCAGAAUGGUCCCAGGCUUUCCUCCUUCUCUCUCUUCACACCCCGCCCUCACCCUGUUCCCGCCCCCGUGGCUUCUGUGCUGCUCCCAGUGGUUCACCUGUGAGAAUUCAGCAUCUUGCUAAGUUCCACAUUUACAGUGUUUUCAUUCCACAGAAUUCCUGCUGUGGCUCAGCGAGUUAAGAGCCCAAAGUUGUCUCUCUGAGAAUUCAGGUUCGAUCCCCAGCCUUGCUCAGUGGGUUCAGGGUCCAGCAUUGCCAUGAGCUGUGCUGUGGCGUAGGUCACAGACGCAGCUCUGAUCCCAUGUUGCUGUGACUGUGGUGUAGGCCGGCAGCUGGAGCUUUGAUUCAGCCCCUAGCCUGGGAGCUUCCAUAUGCUGCAAGUGUGGCCCUAAAAAAAAAAAUAAAUAAAAAAGUUUUUCAUUCCUGAGCCUAAUUAUCUUCACAGAAGAGGUGUGAAGGCAAAGAAAUGAGAGGUCACGGAGUCUCCACAAUAUACGUGAGCUAAGAGGACAGAUCUCUGGGGAUGAAAUGUCACCUUGAGACACCUGUGUCCACCAGUCACUGUCCAUGCCUAGGACCCCCCGAGGCCUGCCUGGUCCAGGCCUCUCCCCACCUUGCUCUCACGUCUUCUCCCUCCACUUCUCACCCCUCCUGCUCUCCUAGGAAGCAGAAGAUGCUCCAGAUUAUCUUUCAUCUAAUAGAUAGCAUAGCAUUCAUGCUCCCUGAGGGUUUGGCACCAUCUUUAUUUCUUAACUGAAGAACAGUUGAUUUACAAUAUUGCACUGGUUUCAGGUGUAAGCAGAGUGAUUCAGUUAUACACAUGUAUUUAUCUGUUCUCUUUCAGAUUCUUUUCCAUUAUAGGUUAUUACAAGAUAUCAAGUAUAGUUCCCUGUGCUAUACAGUAGGUCCUUGUUAUUUAAUCUGUUUUAUAUAUAGUGUGUGUAUCUGUUAAUCCCAAAUUCCUAAUUUAUCCUUCCCCCCCUCCCCGUCCCCUUAGUUAACCAGGAGUUUGUUUUCAGAGUCUGUGGGUCUCUUUCUGUUUUGUAAAUAAGUUCAUUUGUUUCCUAUUUCGGAUCCCACAUAUAAGUGAUAUCGUAUGAUUUUUAUCUUUCCCUGACUUACUUCACUUAGUAUGAUGCUCCCUAGGUCCAUCCAUGUUGCUGCAAAUGGCAUUAUUUUGUUCUUUUUAUGGCUGAGAAGCAUGCUGUGGUGUAUAUGUACCACAUUUUCUUUAUCCGUUCCUCUGUCCAUCAACAUUUAGGUUGUUUCCGUGUCUUGGCUUUUGUAAACAGUGCUGCAAUUAACAGCGAGGUGCAUGUAUCUUUUAAAAUUAGAGUUUUUGUCUUUUCUGGAUAACUGACACCUAGGUAGUUCCAACUGAGAAUUCUCUCCCUAAAAUAAAUUGCUGUAUAAACUAUAAAUUCCAUUUUAAAGUAUUCUCCCUCUUAUCACAUGCCCCUAACUCAAGGCAUGAAUAAAAAGGAAAAUAAUAUCUUUUAUUAGUAGUAACUUCUUACAGAAAUGAGACUUAUUGACUUUAUAUACAUAUAUAUUAAUAGGUAUAAUUGGGGGCUAUGUGAUGACUUUUUUUCUUGUCUACUAUAUGUUUUUCUGAUAUAGGUUAGAAUAUUUGGUAAAAGGCUGUUUGAGAGUAACAAGCCACAUUGCUUACAAAUGCUAGAGGUAAUUUUUAAGCCAAUAGUGAUGAAUCUAAAAUGGAUGAUCAGGCCCAGGACCUUAUGCUUAUUUUGCUUGAAUAAAGUCACAGGGACCAAAGGCUGCCCCAGGUCUCUGGAGAGAACAUCCCAGAUGUGGGUGUCAGUCCCCCCAGAGCAGAGCAGUGAUCAAGCACCCGUGUACUGAUGUGGAACAGAGUUGCAGAGUCAGUGACGACUGGGUGUAAGUCUGGGUGAUGACCUACUUUCUGGCUCAGUCCCAAUGAACCUGGCCUACGACACUCGGGAUGUGAAGGUUAGACAUGACCCACAGAGCCCGGCCACCCUUUAGGUGUCUCACCCAAAAUCGUGAGCGCUGAUCGAAGUUCCUCCCUCAACCUGGUGCUGAUGCAGUGCAGAUACCAGACAGAUACAGAUGCUCUCUGCAGAGACAAGGUGUUGGCUACCAGGACAACAGACAUAGCUGCAUACCUGAGGGCAUGAACAGAACACUUACGCUGUCCCUGGAAAUCCUUUCCUGCCUUGACAUUCUGACAGGGGGUAAGGUGGCUGACAGGGGACACAUCCCAUCCGUGGGUCCUACUCUGAUUGCAAAGAACCCACAGGGAAAUGAGAGCAGAGAGAACACAGCACGUUGUUGGUACCAGCCAUCCUAGGUCUUAAUUCACUAAUAUGAUCUAAGUACCAAGAGCCGCCAUGUCUCAUGGGAAAAUAAAGAGCAUGGAAAACUCUGCUUCUCGCUGCUCAUCAAGAUGAACAAACAGGAUUGGUCCCAUGAAGCAGCCGAGGUAGCUUAAGAAAAAGUUUAAGGAUUGUUUGUUUGUUUGUUUUACUCUUAGUUAACCAUGAAAUACAGCCUUGAUAAAAUUCAAGGCAUUGUUGGGGGGAGAAAAACAAGCCAUAGUAAAAUUUAAAAUAGAGUUAUGAAAAUAAAAAUUUCCGUGGGUAGUCUGAGUAAUUAAAGGAGAGGGCUCAUUAGCUCAUAAAGAAGGAAAAGUUAUGACGUUUCCAAGAAAGUAGAAGAGAAAAAGAGAUGAAAAUUAUGGGCCAAAGGCUGGACUGGAGGGAGGGUCAUGGUCCGUCCAGCAGGAGUCCAGGAGGUGGCCGAGCAGAGGGAGGGAAGGGCAACAUUGAGAGGAAGAGGAGAAGAAACUUAGUCUUUGCUGAAGAAAUGCAGGCGUCUUCCGACAGAACGUGGGCAGAAUAAAUGUUAAAAGAUGUCUAGAGCCCUUGAGGAAAUCUUGAAGAGAAAAGUUUAAAAGCUUCUAAAGAAUACAUUACCAAAAGGGAGAAUCAGGCUGACACCCAGCAUUUCAAUGGAAGAUCUGAGCCCUGAGGGCAGCCAUAUUUCUGUGUAUGGUUUUAGAAGGGAGUCUGGAAGAACAUUUGUCAGACCUUUGGGAGCUCAGGCAGCAGAGACAGGACUCACUUUUUCCUUUCCUCCCUGCUGCUGUUUUAAUUUUCACAUUAUUCUUUUAUUACUUUUUAAUUAAAUUAUUUUCAAAGGAAACAUUAACUUUGGCAGCAGUGAAUAGAAUUAAUUGCUGGAGAAAGAGACUCGAGGCUGUUAAAUCAAUUAGAAGGUUAUCUUAAGAAUUGCCAGCAAAGCUGAGGGAGAAAAAAGCUACAGCGGUAGAAAGCAGAGGCCAGAUUCAGGGAACAUUUGGAAGAUAUUUGAUGAUUU
rnacentral:lncRNA from 1 species